UAGCCCUAUGGUCUGUGAGGGGAGUAGUACAAAUAUUUGUAGUAACACACUCACCAUCAAUACAUUUGGAUAUAAGCCAAAAAUCUAUUCUGGAUUGUCUGGAACCUGUUUUGUUACUCCAAGUGAAUGAUCUUUCGGCCGGAAACCUCUCUCUCCAUAUAUCAGUAAGAUCAAACUUUUCCAUAAAAAGUUUUAAAAGUAUUAAAAGUUCAAUUCUGAUUGGUUGGCCUACCUGGGGGCCAUCUAUCAGUUGAAUUAUCUAUUGUAAUGUUAAAGUCCCCUCCUAUCAAUAAUAACGAAUUGGAAAAUGUAGAUAACCAAUUAAGUAUAUGUUUCUCUAUUCAAGCAACACAUCAUUCUCAUGUUUGGUGUUGUACCUGUAGAAAUUUACAGUAAUGAGCGUAAUGUCAUUGUAACUGAUCACAAGACAAUAAAGUGACCAAAGGGGUCACAUUCCGAGUGUAGAAUAUUACCACCAAAGGUAUUUUUCAUUGUAGUGACACCAGCAGAGCGUUCAGAUCCAUGGGAGAGCCAAAUAUCGUCGCCCCACUGUGACAUCCAGAAAUUGGCAUCAGCCAAAAUUUAGUGAGACUCUUGAAAAAAAGCAAAAAUCUGUUCGACAUUGUUUAGCAAAUAAAAAUAAGGCCUUGCGCUUCACAUUGCUUCGUAACCCCCUAGCAUUAAGAGAUAAUAUAGACAAAGACAAAACAAUAAAGAUUAUAUAAAAGUAUAAACUGUAGUAGGAUGAGUCAACGACGUAGGAGCAGUGAACGUAAAUGAUAAGGAACCGAGAUCUGCACCAUUUAAGUCAAUUUAAAGUGAAAAUAGCUUAUUCCAUAACCUUUGAGCUAGACGUUAUUUGGCUUUGAAAUUCAACUCAACUGGAAAUUAUGUUCAAGACCAAACAAAGGGUUCUUGUAGUAAGAGACUAAAAACCCUCUUUAGUGUAAUCAGGAACUAUUCUGAGAAAUAAAACAACAAAUAAUCAUUUAAAUAAAAGGGUAUCUACUAUUUUAAGUACAUAUGAAAACUGAUCAUAAAAUAAUUGAAUAACAAAAUGUUUUACAUAUAAACGUUCCUAAGACCUUUUUUGGAAAUAAGUAUUAAUAACUAAAUAGAACAAUCACCGUGUAAAGUCAGAGCGAAACAGACCAUGCUGGGGUUUGAGAAGUCAAUGAGCGAAGUGAAAAAUUAUUAAUUUGUUGUUAAUUUUCUCGAAAUCUAAAGGCACAACUUAGAUUCGAACCAAUGUCUUAAGACAUUGACCUGUUAUUACUCAGAACUCGUGAAAGUGACAAACUGACACGCUUUCAAUGUCGUUCCUGGUUCUGCACGAGUUUAGCUGACAGGCGUCGCAAUGACAUCGCCUACAAGUGUGAUCGGGGAUUUUCUAUUGGAGAAGCAGUUUCUGCCUAUCUGCAUACUAUAUGAAGCUCAAGCACUACACUACUAUUCUAAAAGAGGAACAGGAGAUCAAGCAGUAGAACCUUUAACGUGUCGAAAAGCUCACCACUGCAAGAAUCCCCCCCUUUCGCGUGGACGCGCACGCACUCAGUUCUUCAUUGUUGGGACUUGCUUGACCGCGCACGCACUCAAGUCUUCAUUGCUGCGACUUGCUUGCUAGUUGAGAUUUCUUAUCACGUUCGGCUGCGUUUCAUUUGAUUUACAUGUUGGUUUGAUAGCGGGGAGGCACUAGUAAUGGCUGCAGUUGUCGGUUUGGCUAUUUGUUUCAAGUGUAUAAGUCUAAAUAAGUCUCUGCCAAAAUUCGUCGCUCCCAUGUCUUAUUCGACUAGUUGUUGUUCUGAAAUGUUUGUUAGCCUAUAUUUUACUCCCUCUUAAUAUAACAAGUACAUGAAUUAUUAAUUUCGGUUUCCUAUCCUGUUUGUUCUAUAUAAAGUAUUUGACUCUGAUGUGUGUCACUGAAAGUAUUUGACUAGCCACAAAAUUAAGGAAAUUAGAGGGGGGGGGACGGGACAUAAAGAGGGAGUAAAAUGUAGGCAAGCAAUAAACAUUUCACUGUUGUGGGGGCUGUGCUUUGGCAAAGUGGGUGGGGUCUGCCUGUUUGGCCCUGUCGGGGUAUCGUCGGAUGAGGCCACAGUGUCUCCCAACCCCUCCUGUGUCAGCCUCCAGUAUUUAUGCUGAAGUAGUUUAUGUGUCAGGUGGCUAGGGUCAGUCUGUUAUAUCUGGAGUAUUUCUCAUGUUUUAUCCAGUGUCCUGUGUGAAUUUAAGUAUGCUCUCUCUAAUUCUCUCUGAGGACCUGAGCCCUAGGACCAUGCCUCAGGACUACCUGGCCUGAUGACUCCUUGCUGUCCACCUGCCCGUGCUGCUGCUCCAGUUUCAACUGUUCUGCCUGCGGCUAUGGAAUCCUGACCUGUUCACCGAAUGUGCUACCUGUCCCAGACCUGCUGUUUUCAACUCUCUAGAGACAACAGGAGCAGUAGAGAUACUCUGAAUGAUCGUCUAUGAAAAGCCAACUGACAUUUACUCCUGAGAACAACUACUAGUCAAAUAAGGAAGGAGAGUCCGCAACCUUGUGGGGCCCCACUCUUGGUGGUUCCAAACUUCUUCCAAAACUUGUGCCUCAACACAAUCCUGUUUCAGAGCUCUACAUGCAUUGUCAACUGUGGGACCUUAUAUAGACAGGUGUGUGCCUUUCCAAAUCAUGUCCAAUCAAUUGAAUUUACCACAGGUGGACUCAAAUCAAGUUGUAGAAUCAUCUCAAGGAUGAUCCAUUGAAGCAGGAUGCACCUGAGCUCAAUUUCGAGUCUCAUAGCAAAGGGUCUUUGUAAAUACGGUAUUUCUGCUUUAAAAAAAAAAUGUUCACAAAAUUCUAAAAACCUGUUUUUUGCUUUGUCAUUAUGGGGUAUUGUUUGUAGAUUGUUGAGUUUUUAAAAAAAAAAUCAAUUUUAGAAUAAUGCUGUAACGUAACAAAAUGUGGAAAAAGUGACGUGGUCUGAAUUCUUUCUGAAUGCACUGUAUAUUCUUCAAAUAAAUUCUACUGUAGAUAACAACA